rnacentral:rRNA from 1 species
GACGAAGGUGGCAAGCGUUGUUCGGAAUCACUGGGCUUAAAGCGCACGUAGGCGGUUUAUCAAGCGUCUUGUGAAGUCCCUCGGCCCAACCGAGGAACUGCUGGGCGAACUGGUAGACUUGAGGCAGGUAGGGGCGCGUGGAACUCUUGGUGGAGCGGUGGAAUGCAUAGAUAUCAAGAGGAACGCCGGAGGCGAAGGCGACGCGCUGGGCCUGUCCUGACGCUGAGGUGCGAAAGCCAGGGGAGCAAACGGG